rnacentral:rRNA from 1 species
UACGUAGGGGGCGAGCGUUGUCCGGAUUUAUUUGGCGUAAAGAGCUCGUAGGCGGUUUGUUGCGUCGGCUGUGAAAUCCCGAGGCUCAACCUCGGGUCUGCAGUCGAUACGAGCAAACUAGAGUGUUGCAGGGGAGACUGGAAUUCCUGGUGUAGCGGUGAAAUGCGCAGAUAUCAGGAGGAACACCGAUGGCGAAGGCAGCUCGCUGGGACGGUACUGACGCUGAGGCGCGAAAGCGUGGGGAGCGAACAGG